AGUGAACGCUGGCGGUAGGCCUAACACAUGCAAGUCGAACGGCAGCACAGAGGAGCUUGCUCCUUGGGUGGCGAGUGGCGGACGGGUGAGGAAUACAUCGGAAUCUACUCUGUCGUGGGGGAUAACGUAGGGAAACUUACGCUAAUACCGCAUACGACCUACGGGUGAAAGCAGGGGAUCUUCGGACCUUGCGCGAUUGAAUGAGCCGAUGUCGGAUUAGCUAGUUGGCGGGGUAAAGGCCCACCAAGGCGACGAUCCGUAGCUGGUCUGGGAGGAUGAUCAGCAACACUGGAACUGAGACACGGUCCAGACUCCUACGGGAGGCAGCAGUGGGGAAUAUUGGACAAUGGGCGCAAGCCUGAUCCAGCCAUACCGCGUGGGUGAAGAAGGCCUUCGGGUUGUAAAGCCCUUUUGUUGGGAAAGAAAUCCAUCUGGUUAAUACCCGGGUGGGAUGACGGUACCCAAAGAAUAAGCACCGGCUAACUUCGUGCCAGCCGCCGCCGUA
rnacentral:rRNA from 1 species